GCAAAGGCUCUUUUCAGACCCACCACAUUUCUCCUGAAAGGAGCUA
rfam:Chelonia mydas contig258442, whole genome shotgun sequence.